AUGGCCUCAUUUGUUUUGGUUUAGUAGGUGGGGAAGGUAGAGAUGCACUGAUACCUGUGUUUCCACUGCCAAUAGAGGGUCCUAAGCAUUACAGGAUGCCUUAGCAGAGCUGCCAAUUACCCCAUGUAUCAUAGUUGUGGAUGAAGGAAGAUACAAAAUAUCAGUGGACGAAGUCACGGUAAACCACAACAUCAGCUGUCCUCUGGUUACUGUCACCUAUAUGUUCAGCCUCUUCUAUGUGCUGAACAUCAUGUGCCCAAGGGAGCAGCCCUGACUCUGAAGUUUAUC